UUAUUUUACUCUUUAAUAUAAAGUUAAAAUGUUUAAUUAUUAUAUAAUUUUUAAUUAUUUUUAUAAUUUUGUUUAUUGAGUAAUUUCUUACGAGUUUACGAUACGAGUCUACAAAACUUUCACGAGAUUAUGUAAACUCUCGAGAUUGACAACCUUAUUGUUAAGACUCGAAAAUCCAAGGUCCCUCCGCAAGGUUUGUCCACGGAAGGUGCAAUAUGCUUGCUUGCGUUAUGUGAAUAACAUUGCUAUGUAAAAGACUAUUGUCCCUGUUCCUUGCAGUGUGUAUGGUUGUGAUCGCGAAUGUUAUAUUAUUAUUUUUUAUUUACAUUCUGUUAUGCGGUUGGCUCUAGUUUUCUGAUUGCCAAGGAAUUUGCCUCAAUCGCCAUUGUAAAUCAUGUACCUUGUCGCAACUUUCGGUUGCAUACAUUUUUGUUCCUGCAAGGCAUUCUCGAAAUUUGUUUAAUUUCUUAUCUAUGUAGUGUUCUUCCUUUCUUUUACUGAAUAAAACUUGCAUCAAUUGCAUGCAAUUUUUUA